rnacentral:rRNA from 1 species
UGGUCAAGUUAUUAAGGGUGCAGGGCGGAUGCCUUGGCACUAGGAGCCGAUGAAGGACGUGAUAAGCUGCGAUAAGCUUCGGGGAGUUGCACGUAAACUUUGAUCCGAAGAUUUCCGAAUGAGGAAACUCACUUAGAGUAAUGUCUAAGUAUCAUUAAGUGAAUACAUAGCUUAAUGAGGGGAACUCAGGGAACUGAAACAUCUAAGUACCUGAAGGAAGAGAAAGAAAUUCGAUUCCGUAAGUAGCGGCGAGCGAACGCGGAUUAGCCCAAACCAAUAAAGUUUUCUUUAUUGGGGUUGCGGACAUAUCAUAACGAAGAGGUAUCGUAAUUGAAGAGGUUUGGAAAGACCCACCACAGAAGGUAAUAGUCCUGUAUGUUAAACGAGAAGACUUUAGAUAUGAUCCAGAGUACCACGGGACACGUGAAACCCUGUGGGAAGCAGGAGGGACCACCCUCCAAGGCUAAAUACUACCUAGUGACCGAUAGCGUAUAGUACCGUGAGGGAAAGGUGAAAAGAACCCCGGGAGGGGAGUGAAAUAGAACCUGAAACCCUGCACUUACAAGCUGUGGAAGCACAUUUCUUGUGUGACCGCGUACUUUUUGUAGAACGGGCCAACGAGUUACGUUAAGUAGCAAGGUUAAGCACUUAAGGUGCGGAGCCGUAGCGAAAGCGAGUUUUAACUGAGCGUUCAGUUACUUGACGUAGACCCGAAACCGGGCGACCUACCCAUGAGCAGGAUGAAGCGAAAGUAAAAUUUCGUGGAGGUCCGAACCCACGAGCGUUGAAAAGCUCGGGGAUGACUUGUGGGUAGCGGUGAAAUUCCAAUCGAGCCCGGAGAUAGCUGGUUCUCCCCGAAAUAGCUUUAGGGCUAGCCUCAAGGUGAGAGAUACGGAGGUAGAGCACUGAAUGUCCUAGGGGGUAUUGCACCUACCGAAGACUAUCAAACUCCGAAUGCCGUCAUCUUAUACUUGGGAGUCAGACUGUGGGUGAUAAGAUUCAUAGUCGAAAGGGCAACAGCCCAGAUCGUCAGCUAAGGUCCCUAAAUGUAAGUUAAGUGGUAAAGGAUGUGGGAUUGCACAGACAACCAGGAUGUUGGCUUAGAAGCAGCCACUCAUUCAAAGAGUGCGUAAUAGCUCACUGGUCGAGUGAUCCUGCGCCGAAGAUUUCCGGGGCUAAAACUUACUACCGAAGCUACGGCAUCAGUAAUGAUGGGUAGGGGAGCUUCCCAUACGGGUUGAAGCAUGACCGUAAGGACAUGUGGACAGUAUGGGAGUGAGAAUGUUGGCAUGAGUAGCGAGAUGUGGGUGAGAAUCCCACAGGCCGUAAACCCAAGGUUUCCAGGGGAAGGUUCGUCCGCCCUGGGUUAGUCGGGACCUAAGCUGAGGCCGAAAGGCGUAGGUGAUGGACAACAGGUUGAUAUUCCUGUACUACCGAUAACCGUUUGAGAGAAGGGAUGACACAGUAGGAUAAGCUAAGCACACUGUUGGUUAUGUGUGCCCAAGCAUUGAGGCAGUCAAAGUAGGCAAAUCCGCUUUGAUAAUGCUGGGAUGUGAUGGGGAGCGAAAUUUAGUAGCGAAGUAGCUGAUUUCACACUGUCAAGAAAAGUCUCUAUCGAGGUUAAAGGUACCCGUACCGCAAACCGACACAGGUGGGUGAGGAGAGUAUCCUAAGGCCAGCGAGAGAACUGUUGUUAAGGAACUCGGCAAAAUGACCCCGUAACUUAGGGAUAAGGGGUGCCACCAUCAGGUGGCCGCAGAGAAUAGGCCCAAGCGACUGUUUACCAAAAACAUAGGUUUCUGCUAAGUCGCAAGACGAUGUAUAGGAGCUGACGCCUGCCCGGUGCUGGAAGGUUAAGGGGAUCUGUUAGAGCAAUCGAAGCAGUGAACUUAAGCCCCAGUAAACGGCGGCCGUAACUAUAACGGUCCUAAGGUAGCGAAAUUCCUUGUCGGGUAAGUUCCGACCCGCACGAAAGGCGUAACGAUUUGGGCACUGUCUCAACAACAGACUCGGUGAAAUUGUAAUUCCGGUGAAGAUGCCGGAUACCUGCGACAGGACGGAAAGACCCCAUGGAGCUUUACUGUAGCUUGACAUUGGGUCUUGGUACUACAUGUACAGGAUAGGUGGGAGGCUUUGAAACCAGGACGCCAGUUUUGGCGGAGCCAUCCUUGGGAUACCACCCUUGUAGUACUGGGACUCUAACCAUAGGCCAUGAAUCUGGUCUUGGGACACUGUCAGGUGGGCAGUUUGACUGGGGCGGUCGCCUCCCAAAAGGUAACGGAGGCGCUCAAAGGUUCUCUCAGUACGGUCGGAAAUCGUACGUAGAGUGUAAAGGCAAAAGAGAGCUUGAUUGCAAGACAUACAGGUCGAGCAAGGAUGAAAAUCGGACUUAGUGAUCCGGUGGUUCUGCGUGGAAGGGCCAUCGCUCAACGGAUAAAAGCUACCCUGGGGAUAACAGGCUUAUCUCCCCCAAGAGUCCACAUCGACGGGGAGGUUUGGCACCUCGAUGUCGGCUCAUCACAUCCUGGGGCUGUAGUAGGUCCCAAGGGUUGGGCUGUUCGCCCAUUAAAGUGGUACGCGAGCUGGGUUCAGAACGUCGUGAGACAGUUCGGUCCCUAUCCGUCGCAGGCGUAGGAAAUUUGAGAAGACCUGUCCUUAGUACGAGAGGACCGGGAUGGACGUACCUCUGGUGUACCAGUUGUCCUGCCAAGGGCAUGGCUGGGUAGCU